rnacentral:rRNA from 1 species
CCUACGGGUUGCACCAGUCGCGAAAACUUUGCAAUACACGAAAGUGUGACAAGGCUAUCCCGAGUGCCAUCCGCUGAGGAAGGCUUUUACUCAGUAUAAAUAGCUGGGAGAAUAAGGAGAGGGCAAGUCUGGUGUCAGCCGCCGCGGUAAUACCAGCUCUCCGAGUAGUGUGGAUGUUUAUUGGGCCUAAAGCAUCCGUAGCUUGCUAAAUAAGUCCCCUGUUAAAUCCACCGAUUCAAUCGUUGGAUUGCGGGGGAUACUGUUUGGCUAGGGGACGGGAGAGGCCGACGGUAUUUCCGGGGUAGGGGUGAAAUCCUAUAAUCCCGGGAAGACCACCAGUGGCGAAGGCUGUCGGCUAGAACGCGCCCGACGGUGAGGGAUGAAAGCUGGGGGAGCGAACCGGAUUAGAUACCCUUGUAGUC